GAUGAACGCUGGCGGCGUGCCUAAUACAUGCAAGUCGAGCGAACAGACGAGGAGCUUGCUCCUCUGACGUUAGCGGCGGACGGGUGAGUAACACGUGGAUAACCUACCUAUAAGACUGGGAUAACUUCGGGAAACCGGAGCUAAUACCGGAUAAUAUAUUGAACCGCAUUGUGCAAUAGUGAAAGACGGUUUUGCUGUCACUUAUAGAUGGAUCCGCGCCGGAUUAGCUAGUUGGUAAGGUAACGGCUUACCAAGGCAACGAUGCGUAGCCGACCUGAGAGGGUGAUCGGCCACCCGGGAAGUGGGACACGGUCCAGACUCCUGCGGGAGGCAGCAGUCGGGAAUCUUACGCAAUGGGGGAGAGCCUGACGGAGCAACGCGGCGUGAGUGAUGAAGGUCUUCGGAUCGUAAAACUCUGUUAUUAGGGAAGAACAAAUGUGUAAGUAACUAUGCACGUAUUGACGGUACCUGGUCAGAAAGCCCCGGCUAACUACGUG
rnacentral:rRNA from 1 species